AAAUUAAAUUUGUAAGAUGAAUAUGCCAUUCUUGUUGGUCUCUCUCUAACCAGUAGAGAGAGAAUUUUCCUCUCCUCUCGUUCUUCUUCUCCUAAAGCACUUGGCCUCUGCCCUUACCGACCAGCGGCCUCCUCUGCCCCAUCAGGGCAGGGGGGACUUCAUCCCCUAUCCUGGAAGUGGGUUAUGUCCUCCCCCACUCGGGCGGGGUUUGUGCAUAAAUAAUGUUGUUUUCGCGUUUUUGUGAUAGAUCCAGCGCCAA
rnacentral:misc_RNA from 1 species